rnacentral:lncRNA from 13 species
AUGAUGUACCACCUUGUGGGGGGGGGGGGAUCACACCAUCAAAAACAAACCUCAGGUCAUUCCUUAAACCAUUUAGCUACGGUACAACAGAGCAUAUUGUGUGUGUGUGUGUGUACCAACCUCCACUUCCCACAGGGCAUUGGAGCUGGUGGCAGAGGUAGCAGACUGGCGCAAGGUGGUACGGAGGAACACAUGCAGCUUGACCUUGUACUCGUCACAGGAAGAAGCCUCACUCUUCCAGAGAGUUUGCCGCGGAUGAAUCAGACGAUGUGGUUAUGACGACAGAACUCUCCAUUACCUCUUUGCAUCCCGUGUGGUCGGACAGCUCAUAGUUGCUGGCGUGUAGGGGCUGGCCUGCAUUCACUGGGUUCAGGAUCACCUUGUCUCCCACCACUACCUGCAGAACAACACAUGACCAGACUGGUUGCGGUUAUGUACCUUGGAUGACUGAUAAUUCCGACCGAUGUCUGUACUCUGUACUCAUCACAGUAAAAAAAAAAAACAAGCCAAUGCUAUAAUUGGCAGUAUCCUUCUGGAUAGUGGUUAUGGUACUUUUCUUGGUUGAAGCUAACAUUUAGGUUAGUGUGUAUUAAUGUCAUUUGAGUCUGUACUGUAAUACGAGUUAGUUGAGUUACAUUGUCUCCGUUGGCCCUUAGCUUCCAGAAGGGUUGGAUGAACACCCAGGAGCCCUCAUUCCCCGUCCCGUCCAGGGUGACCCGCAUGGCGUUCUUCUCCAGCAGGGCAGGCAGACGCUUAUUCACAGUCAGGUAUUUAUUACUCUUCAUAUGCAGCAGCUGUCAGCCAGGAUACGUAACACACAAAAAAGACGGGCACACAGGCCACUGUUAAAACCUCCCCCCCCCAAAAAAAAAAUCACUCACUUUCAUAUCAUGUCUGUGAUAAUGUGCUGUUAUGACGAUAGGUUGACAUGGAUAGAAUGCACCACUAACCCUAUCAAGAAUGAGAAUCAGCCAGUCAGGAAGGGAAUCACUUAAGAAAGCAUGGUUGGAAGAUCAAGAUAAAUAGUACUAAAACCAUGUAUCGACAGACAGGAUUCCCACCAGAUGUUGUCAUUCAGAGACUAUGCUGUCUCAGACAUUUCAAUAGGAGAUAAUGAAGGGGAAAGUAGCACACCUGUCCUCGCUGAAGCUUAUUAUGGUUAAAAAGAGGUUAAAAAAUGAGAAUUUCCUGGGAAUUUUCAAUAAAUUCCCUGGUUUUCCCAGAAAUCCUGGUUUGGAGGAUGAUGUAUUUCCUGCUUAUUCCCUCCAACUGGGAUUCCUGGAAACCAGGGAAUUUAUUGAACAUUCACAGAAUUUUACAACCCUAAGGAGAAUAAAGGACUGGGGGAAACCUGAGGAAGGGUGAGGGUGUGUCCAGACCUUAGAAGAACAUCAGUAAAUCCCCAAAGCUAAAUUAGACUUUACUUCCUGGAAGAUAAAGUGACUCAGCAGGUUAGUUGUACUGCAUUGUGAUAACCCCAAGGUGUGCUGUGUGUACUCGCUGCACAGCCAUUAACAGAUUAAAGCUAGUGAUCUCCAGAGAGACAGACAGACCCUCCCCUACCUCUCCCCCCUCAGUACGUCAGAAGGACAUCUAUACUCCCAGAUCAGCGAGGGCUCUUAACAUAGACUCUUCACUGUGUGUCCCACCAUUCUGUAAGUGUAUUCAUCUUCAGAUAUCUAGGUGGGACAGCCACAUAUCAGGGUCAUUGUAAGUGUAUUCAUCUUCAGAUAGCUGGGACAACCACAUAUCAGGGUCAUUGUAAGAUACACAACCCAACCAAGCCGCACUGCUUCUUAACACAGCGCGCAUCCAACCCGGAAGCCAGCCGCACCGAUGUGUCAGAGGAAACACAUUUACCUCUAUUUAACCUGGCAACCUUGGUUAGCGCAUACUGCACCCGGCCCGCCACAGGAGUCGCUGGUGCGCGAUGAGACAAGCAUAUCCCUACCGGCUAAGCCCUCCCUAACCCGGACGACGCUAGGCCAAUUGUGCGUCGCCCCACGGACCUCCCGGUCACGGCAGAGCCUGGGCGCGUACACAGAGUCUCUGAUGGCACAGCUGGCGCUGCAGUACAACGCCCUUUUUUAAAAAUGGUUAAUUUUAUCUUUAUUUAACCAGGCAAGUCGGUUAAGAACAAAUUCUUAUUUUCAAUGACGGCCUAGGAACAGUGGGCUUAACUGCCUGUUCAGGGGCAGAACGACAGAUUUGUACCUUGUCAGCUCGGGGAUUUGAACUUGCAACCUUCCGGUUACUAGUCCAACGCUCUAACCACUAGGCUACCUGGGAGGCCCCAGAACGUUUGUUUCUUAACAUUCUCCGAUCUAUUUGAGAAACAUUCCCAACGUCAAACCAGUUGGAGAACAAUCCUAGAACACUACUAAAAUGUCAAUUCAAUGUAAACACGUUUGAACUUUUAGGAAAAAUUCUGUUAAUUAAAAGUAAAUACCUAGAAAAUAAUGUUUGUCAUUUAAUGUGUUGAGAAUGUUCCAAAGCCAAGCAACUAUCCUGCACCAUUACCCAGAACGUUGUGGGAAGGAUGUAACAUAACCUUAGGACAACCACACUCUCACCGAGCUCUAAGUGACAUAUGGUGCUCUGAACGUUGUGUGCUCGCUGGGUGCAUACUUGCUGAAAGUGAUUCAACACACAGGUAUUCUGGGACCACUCCCUGAUCGAUACUGUGCAGGUGUGCUCAAACCCUUUACCAGACACAUUACUGAUUGGUGAUCUGCAGACCCAUCACACUGACAAUGUGCAGGUGUGCUCAAACACUUCACCAGACACAUUACAGAUUGGUGAUCUGCAGACCAUCAAACUGACAAUGUGCAGGUGUGCUCAAACCCUUUACACAGACACAUUACAGAUUGGUGAUCUGCAGACCCAUCAAACUGACAAUGUGCAGGUGUGCUCAAACCCUUCACCAGACACAUUACUGAUUGGUGAUCUGCAGACCCAUCACACUGACAAUGUGCAGGUGUGCUCAAACCCUUCACCAGACACAUUACUGAUUGGUGAUCUGCAGACCCAUCACACUGACAAUGUGCAGGUGUGCUCAAGCUUCCCUUCAGGUACAAGACCAGCCAUUCAUUGACAUCGGCCUAAUCCAAUUGCAUUACGCUGCUGCUACUCUCUUAUUAACUAUGCAUAGUCACUUUAAUAACCCCACCUACAUGUAUAUACUACCUCAAUUACCUCAAAUAAACGGUGCCCCCACACAUUGACUCUGUACCAGUACCCCCUGUAUAUAACCUCCACAUUGACUCUGUACCAGUACCCCCUGUAUAUAGCCUCCACAUUGACUCUGUACCAGUACCCCCUGUAUAUAGCCUCCACAUUGACUCUGUACCNNNNNNNNNNNNNNNNNNNNNNNNNNNNNNNNNNNNNNNNNNNNNNNNNNNNNNNNNNNNNNNNNNNNNNNNNNNNNNNNNNNNNNNNNNNNNNNNNNNNGUGUGUGUGUGUGUGUGUGUGUGUGUGUGUGUGUGUGUGUGUGUGUGUGUGUGUGUGUGUGUGUGUGUGUGUGUGUGUGUGGACAUACGUUGGUGCAGGAAAGAGGUGUGAGUUAUUGCCAAGAGCAGUGCAAAUGAGC